CUGCUGGGGAGAAAUGAAAUGAAUGUGGGUAUCCAGGCCGCCGGCCGUCACAAUCAGUCCCUCGCCCGCCAGCGCCUCGGUGGAUGCUCCCACCGUCAUCCCCGGGGUAACGCCGUCCAUCACACCGGGAUUUCCCGCUUUUCCGAUGCCGGCGAUUUUUCCGUUCUUGAUGCCGAUGUCAGCCUUGAAAAUCCCCGUGUAAUCCACCACCAGCGCAUUGGUGAUCACCAGAUCCAGAUCCCCGGACGCGCUGGUGGUUUUCACCGACUGUCCCAUGCCGUCCCG
rnacentral:sRNA from 1 species